rnacentral:piRNA from 1 species
UGGCAUGGGUGCUAGAACUAAAUUCUGGUC